rnacentral:rRNA from 1 species
AUUGAACGCUGGCGGCAGGCCUAACACAUGCAAGUCGAACGAGUGGCGGACGGGUGAGUAAUGUCUGGGACACUGCCCGAUGGAGGGGGAUAACUACUGGAAACGGUAGCUAAUACCGCAUACCAUCGGAUGUGCCCAGAUGGGAUUAGCUAGUAGGUGGGGUAAUGGCUCACGUAGGCGACGAUCCCUAUCUGGUGCGAGAGGAUGACCAGCAACACGGGAACUGGGACACGGUCCAGACUCCUACGGGAGGCAGCGGAGGGGAAUAUUGGACAAGGGGCGCAAGCCUGAUGCAGCCAUGCCGCGUGGAGGAAGAAGGCCUUCGAGUUGUAAGGUACUUUCAGCGAGGAGGCGUUACUCGCAGAAGAAGCACCGGCUAACUCCGUGCCAGCAGCCGCGGUAAUAC